GACAGUUUCGAUAUUGAUAUAGAUAUAGAUAUAUUUUUUUUUUCUGGUGCCAUAACAUAAGUCUAUACUUAUAUAUAUAUCCGUGAUGAUAUCGACGUAUGGUGUGUUUAAUGAGUAGAUAAUAAAAGCAAGACAAUGUUUUAGUGAAAGUGGUGAAAAAAUGUAAAGAGAAAAAUGGAAAUAAAGGCGGAGGAAUCCAAGAGUGUUGUGUAUUAUAUUAUAUUAUAUAUUAUAAACUGAAAAUUGUCAACAAUGUUACAGGAAACUGCCAGCUAGUGUAUAAGACCGAGAUAUAAAGGCUCUUACGAUUUCGGAUUGAUGAUAGGAGUGACGAAGGAGAGCAAGGGCUACAAAAAUGUAGAAUAAAGAAGUAAAUGCAGUCUGGAAAAGGAUUUAGAGAAAAGCACAAUUCUAUCAACGGCUUAACACAUUAAUCGCUGCAAAGAAAAGAAGAGUGCGGGUGAGCACUUACAUGCUCCGGUGGCAAUGCUUUAAAAUCUUGUCAUCGUCAUGAUAUCUCCAGUGCAAAUGAAAUAUGGAAGAGGUCUGUCGCCGGCCCAUUAAUACUCAUUUGACAUUUUUGGGCACCGAUGGUUAUUUUACCUGAAGAAUUAUUCGCUCAUUGUUCAUUUUUUUAAGACUAUCGCAAUGAUCACAGUGGAAGUGGUGCACAAUUUCUUGAUAAACUCUUUUGACUUCAAUCGACAUGAAGCACUUUUCCACAACCACAGUUUGAGUACAUUUGCUUCGAAGAACAAUCAAUUGGUCAACACGGUUUUACAGAGUGUCGAGUAUCCCAUGGAUCAGUUCUGAAAGUUCAGAAGAAAAAUGUUUCUAGAUUGAUUGACGUAGAGAGGAUUUUGUCCGAGCUGUUUGGUCAUUUUUUCGUCUUUCUUCGCUCGUACUGCUCUUGCCAAGACACAACCCAC